rnacentral:rRNA from 1 species
UACGUAGGUGGCAAGCGUUGUCCGGAUUUAUUGGGUUUAAAGGGUGCGUAGGCGGCCCUGUAAGUCAGUGCUGAAAUAUCCCAGCUUAACUGGGAGGGUGGCAUUGAUACUGCGGGGCUAGAGUACAGAUGAGGUAGGCGGAAUUGACGGUGUAGCGGUGAAAUGCUUAGAUAUCGUCAAGAACACCUAUAGCGAAGGCAGCUUACUAGGCUGUAACUGACGCUGAGGUACGAAAGUGUGGGGAUCAAACAGG